GCUUCUUUUCAAGUUCCUUCUUUUUUUGUUUCAUGUCCAGCUUAAACCCUAACCCAAAACGAUCUUGUUUGUCCUUCAUCAUUGGUACAUUAAUCCUUCCCUGGAGGUAUCUCCCGAGUUCUCUUUCGGGUAGAGCCCCUUUUCCAAUAGUUAGCCGUAGUCCCAUUCUUGUAGUCUCAGAUAACCUGGGUAUUGGAAUCUUAUUUCCUUCAGUGAUGAACGCCGCGUUCACAAACUCCAAAGAUCGAAAAGAGCACUCGAUUGCUUCAUCAUUU
rnacentral:lncRNA from 1 species